UGGGGAAUAUUGGACAAUGGGGGAAACCCUGAUCCAGCAAUGCCGCGUGAGUGAAGAAGGCCUUAGGGUUGUAAAGCUCUUUCGCCCGCGAAGAUAAUGACGGUAGCGGGAGAAGAAGCCCCGGCUAACUCCGUGCCAGCAGCCGCGGUAAUACGUAGGGGGCAAGCGUUGUCCGGAUUUACUGGGUGUAAAGGGCGCGCAGGCGGAAUGGAAAGUCAGUGGUGAAAUCCUACAGCUUAACUGUAGAACUGCCUUUGAUACUUUCAUUCUUGAGUUCGGGAGAGAGAGACGGAAUUCCAGGUGUAGUGGUGAAAUACGUAGAUAUCUGGAAGAACACCAGUUGCGAAGGCGGUCUCUUGGUCCGAUACUGACGCUGAGGCGCGAAAGCGUGGGGAGCAAACA
rnacentral:rRNA from 1 species